ACGAGAAACAGUAUAUUUGUUUGUUGGGCCUGAGAUCUAGAUGUGUUAUAACAUGGCUGAGAGAGGUGAGUUUUCUGCAUGAUUCUGGACAUCUAUUACCUCCCUUCUCUACAGAAACACAACCCACCACUACCCCCACUACAACCACUCCUGUUCCAUCUGUAGACCCCACAGGAGGAGGCGGCACCCAGGCACCCCAGACCGAGGACGAUCCAGAAGGACUCAGCACGACCAUCAUCAUCGUCAUCAUCGUCAUUGUCGUCGUUGUCAUCGUUGUCGUAGCCGUCGUUGCCUUUAUUUGUCUCAAACGUAGAAACGCCAACAAGAGUAUCGAAGAACCUCCAGAGAAGCCAAGAAAUAACUCAGACCUGAGCUUUGUGAACAAGCCUCCAGAUGUGAUCCGUAACGACGAGAAACGUGGAAAUAACAUGGGUUACAAUAAUGUUAGUAAAGUUAC